rnacentral:sRNA from 1 species
ACACAGGAAGGAGGUGGUUCGAGAAUGAUUUCUAGGACGCGUGAGGUGGCUGCCCGCUAGGCGCUACCGCUGCAAUCGGAUUCCGAUCGCGCGAGCCCUCGCGAAUCCAAGGCAGUCACCCGGCCCCCGAGUUACGGUCCGUCCGACCGGACUUGCGUGAGAAUGUUGCAUCCUCCGCAGGUAUGACUCGGGGGCCGUACCUG